rnacentral:lncRNA from 1 species
CUUGGUAACCAGAGUAGGGCUGAUCUUCCGAACCCCCUUUUCUCUUUUCCUAAUGAUCGGCUCUGCUAUAUGAAUGGUGUGAGAAAGGGAUAGCAUGCAUCAUUUUUAGGAAGAUGAGUCUGAAAUUCUCUGAGAUCAAAAUGCCUCUGUGGCAAUAUUAUGUAGGCAAUUUAUGCCAGAUGUUUCAACACAGGUUAGAUAUUUAUUUCUUUUAUUCAUGUUUAACCAAGGAUAUUCUGGAGCUGUUCAGUUGGAGAUUAGAAAUGGAGAAAGUGAACAAAAUGGGUGAAGGAUUGAAGCAUUGUCUGGCU